UCCCAUGUAGUCUAGGCGGUUAGGAUACCUGGUUUUCAGGCCACUCCGACUGGAGUCUGAACACCUAGGCGACUCGGGUUCGAGUCCCGGCGUGGGAA
rnacentral:tRNA from 1 species